rnacentral:rRNA from 1 species
AUUGAACGCUGGCGGCAAGCUUAACACAUGCAAGUCGAGCGGGGGAAGGUAGGUUGCUACCGGACCUAGCGGCGGACGGGUGAGUAAUGCUUAGGAAUCUGCCUAUUAGUGGGGGACAACAUCUCGAAAGGGAUGCUAAUACCGCAUACGUCCUACGGGAGAAAGCAGGGGAUCACUUGUGACCUUGCGCUAAUAGAUGAGCCUAAGUCGGAUUAGCUAGUUGGUGGGGUAAAGGCCUACCAAGGCGACGAUCUGUAGCGGGUCUGAGAGGAUGAUCCGCCACACUGGGACUGAGACACGGCCCAGACUCCUACGGGAGGCAGCAGUGGGGAAUAUUGGACAAUGGGGGGAACCCUGAUCCAGCCAUGCCGCGUGUGUGAAGAAGGCCUUAUGGUUGUAAAGCACUUUAAGCGAGGAGGAGGCUCUUUUGGUUAACACCCAAGAUGAGUGGACGUUACUCGCAGAAUAAGCACCGGCUAACUCUGUGCCAGCCGCCGCCGUAA